AACGUACGCUGGCGGCACGCCUAACACAUGCAAGUCGAACGAAGUAGCAAUACUUAGUGGCAGACGGGUGAGUAACAUGUGGGUAUCUGCCCUUUGGCCUGGAAUAACACGAGGAAACUUGUGCUAAUACCGGAUAAGUCUUUACGGAGAAAGCUUUAUGCACCAUUGGAUGAGCCCGCACUUGAUUAGUUUGUUGGUGGGGUAAUGGCCUACCAAGACUGUGAUCAAUAGCUGAUUUGAGAGGAUGAUCAGCCACAUUGGGACUGAGACACGGCCCAAACUCCUACGGGAGGCAGCAGUGGGGAAUCUUGCACAAUGGAGGAAACUCUGAUGCAGCGAUGCCGCGUGAGUGAAGAAGGCCCUUGGGUUGUAAAGCUCUUUCGUCGGGGAAGAAAAUGACUGUACCCGAAUAAGAAGGUCCGGCUAGCUUCGUGCCAGCAGCCGCGGUAAUACGAAGGGACCUAGCGUAGUUCGGAAUUACUGGGCUUAAAGAGUUCGUAGGUGGUUGAAAAAGUUAGUGGUGAAAUCCCAGAGCUUAACUCUGGAACUGCCAUUAAAACUUUUCAGCUAGAGUAUGAUAGAGGAAAGCAGAAUUUCUAGUGUAGAGGUGAAAUUCGUAGAUAUUAGAAAGAAUACCAAUUGCGAAGGCAGCUUUCUGGAUCAUUACUGACACUGAGGAACGAAAGCAUGGGUAGCGAAGAGGAUUAGAUACCCUCGUAGUCCAUGCCGUAAACGAUGUGUGUUAGACGUUGGAAAUUUAUUUUCAGUGUCGCAGGGAAACCGAUAAACACACCGCCUGGGGAGUACGACCGCAAGGUUAAAACUCAAAUGAAUUGACGGGGACCCGCACAAGUAGUGGAGCAUGUGGUUUAAUUCGAAGAUACGCGCAGAACCUUACCAACACUUGACAUGUUCGUCGCGACUCUAAGAGAUUAGAGUUUUCGGUUCGGCCGGACGAAACACAGGUGCUGCAUGGCUGUCGUCAGCUCGUGUCGUGAGAUGUUGGGUUAAGUCCCGCAACGAGCGCAACCCUCACUUUUAGUUGCCAUCAUUAAGUUGGGCACUCUGAAAGAACUGCCAGUGAUAAGCUGGAGGAAGGUGGGGAUGACGUCAAGUCCUCAUGGCCCUUACGUGUUGGGCUACACACGUGCUACAAUGGUAUCUACAACAGGAAGCAAGACUGCGAAGUUAAGCAAAUCCCUAAAAGAUACCUCAGUUCGGAUUGCACUCUGCAACUCGAGUGCAUGAAGCUGGAAUUACUAGUAAUCGUGGAUCAGCGUGCCACGGUGAAUGCGUUCCCGGGUCU
rnacentral:rRNA from 1 species